AACGUGCUCCGGGGUCGGUGAAAGUCCGAACCGGCGGUGACAGUCCGCGACCCGCGAGCGUGAGCCAGGCGAGAGCCCCGGCCCACGCGGACGGUUGAGCCGGUGGAAUUCCGGCACCGACAGUAAGAGUCUGGAUGGGAGAAGCACGCA
rnacentral:ncRNA from 2 species